rnacentral:misc_RNA from 1 species
GGAACAUCAAUGCCUUGUGUAUAAAAAUGUUUUACACACCAAAUAUUAUAAUUUAAAGACGCAACCCUUGCCAUUUCCAUGUGCAGAUGAUCAAGUCUUAUAACAGCAAAGUAAAAUACUAGUUGUCCAAAAAAAAGUCUUCUUGGAGUCGCUAGUAAUCUGAUCAGAGUCAAAAUUCAAGUGUUGCUUCCUUCAUCUACUUCCCACGCUCUCCCAAGAAAGCCGUCGGCAGCUU